rnacentral:misc_RNA from 1 species
UGGCUCUGGCAUCGAUGAAGAACGCAGCGAAAUGCGAUAAGUAAUGUGAAUUGCAGAAUUCAGUGAAUCAUCGAAUCUUUGAACGCACAUUGCGCCCGCCAGUAUUCUGGCGGGCAUGCCUGUUCGAGCGUCAUUUCAACCCUCGUGCCCCCUGUGGGCGCGGUGUUGGGGAUCGGACUGCCCCCCCGCGGGGCGGCGCCGUCCCCUAAAUCCAGUGGCGGUCCCGCUGUAGCCCCCUCUGCGUAGUAGCACACCUCGCACUGGAGCGCAGCGCGGCCACGCCGUAAAACCCCCAACUUUUAGAAGGUUGACCUCGAAUCAGGUAGGGAUACCCGCUGA